AUGCCGGCUGUUCUGACUCACAGACUGUAAGUACGUUUUUCAUAAAAAAUUUGCCACAUACGAUUCAAACGCGAGGUUUGAGCAGAGUAGAGUAGGGCUUGCUGUUGACAAUUCUCAGAUUACAAAUGCA